rfam:Brachypodium distachyon strain Bd21 chromosome 2, whole genome shotgun sequence.
AUUUUACUCCCUCCGAUCCAUAUUAAUUGUCAAAAUUACAUGUAUCUAGACGUUUUUUAGGCAUAGAUACAUCCAUAUUUGGUCAAAUUUGAGACAAUUAAUAUGGAUCGGAGGGAGUAUUAG